rnacentral:rRNA from 1 species
UACGUAGGGUGUGAGCGUUGUCCGGAAUUACUGGGCGUAAAGAGCUCGUAGGUGGUUUGUCACGUCGUCUGUGAAAUUCCGGGGCUUAACCUCGGGCGUGCAGGCGAUACGGGCAAUACUUGAGUGCUGUAGGGGAGACUGGAAUUCCUGGUGUGGCGGUGAAAUGCGCAGAUAUCAGGAGGAACACCGAUGGCGAAGGCAGGUCUCUGGGCAGUAACUGACGCUGAGGAGCGAAAGCAUGGGUAGCGAACAGGAUUAGA